UCCAGGUACUCCGGCUAUCCUCCAUCUCCAAAACCUGGCACGUCCUUAAAUGACUCUGGCUGUUAAAAGGACGUUAAACAAAACAAACAAAACCAAAUCAUCACACAAAUCGACAGCAGCUAUGUACUUAGGUGAUAUCUGUACCAGAUUAUAAACAGGUGAUAUGUGUACCAGAUUAUAAACAGAUGGACAAAUAUAUUGCUCAACUGGCCCGAAGGGCCAGCGAGUUUAUGCCAUAUGUAGCAAAGAUCUUUCAAACAAAACUUACGUAAUCAUUUUCUCUCUAGCUUAAAGUCAUAAACUUCAAAACUUGUUCUUCUGAUUCAAGUGAAACUACAAAGUGUAUAUUACUAAGAUAUAGCAUACAUAUUAUGAUCUGUUCAUUUUAAAUGUUUCCCUGUGAAUUUAUAUAAAGAAACUCAUGUCCUCCAGAAUGAUACAUGUAACAGUAUACGAUUAUUCUAGUGCAUGUUCAUUACUAUAACUUCUGGUUAUCCACUUACAGGUUAUUUUAUUAUCAAAUUCUUCUAUUAGUCUGAUCAAGUAUAAUAGAAUCGUACCCACCCACCAUCCCCAUGUCAUCACCAUAGGGUAGCUAUAUAUAUAGUCAUGUACUUAAUAAAUCUUGAUCAGGUGUAAACAUGUAACUUUUAACAUAGAAUUGUAAUCAUAUAGAAAUUGAUUUUAUGUUUGAGGUCAUUGUUGGAUCUCUAUCUUAGUUUGAUGUUUUUGUUUCGUUAAACACAUGCAGUUAUAUGGGCUACUCACCACAUAUUAUGUUUGUGUUCAGGUUUAUUAUGUUUUGUUUCAACCUAUUCAAGUCACUAGUAGCUUGCAGCUUUAGCUUAUUUUGUUGUAGUUUUGUAGUAUAUAUAUGUAACCAUCCAGUUCCAGGUUUGCUCUCCAUGCUGAGAACGGCUUAUUCAGGUUAAAUAUACCUACCUGUUACGGGCUACCUCCCUGUAUUUGAGAUGCCCCGGUCCAGGGUUUUAGUAAUACCUAACCUGUUCCAGGUUACCUCCCUUAGUUGAGAUUUACCCUGUUCCAGGGUUUUCAUUACAUAACCUGUUCCAGGUUACCUCCCUCAGUUGAGAUUUACCCUGUUGGCCAUUAGAAUUCCAGGGAAUUCUUUUUCCCCAUUCAGAUAAUAACUACCUUUACAGGUAUAUCAAAAUUAAUUAAUUGGAUCAUGUGUUUUUAAUAUGAAGUUAUGGUUAUAUUUUAGUAAAUGUAUACAACAUGGUGAGUAGCCCCCAAGAAGAGCCAAAAUUAAGAUUGUAAUUCAUGUUGCUGAGGAAUCUAAAAGUAAUAAAUCAUAUUCGAAUUUUUUA